rnacentral:rRNA from 1 species
UACGUAGGGUGCGAGCGUUAAUCGGAAUUACUGGGCGUAAAGGGUGCGCAGGCGGUCCCGCAAGUCAGGCGUGAAAUCCCCGGGCUUAACCUGGGAAUGGCACUUGAAACUACGGGACUGGAGUAUGGCAGAGGGAGGUGGAAUUCCACGUGUAGCGGUGAAAUGCGUAGAGAUGUGGAGGAACACCGAUGGCGAAGGCAGCCAUCUGGACCGACACUGACGCUGAGGCGCGAAAGCGUGGGGAGCAAACAGG